UACGCAGGGUGCAAGCGUUGUCCGGAAUUAUUGGGCGUAAAGAGCUCGUAGGCGGCUUGUCACGUCGGCUGUGAAAACCUGGGGCUCAACCCCGGGCCUGCAGCCGAUACGGGCAAGCUAGAAUUCGGUAGGGGAGACUGGAAUUCCUGGUGUAGCGGUGAAAUGCGCAGAUAUCAGGAGGAACACCGGUGGCGAAGGCGGGUCUCUGGGCCGAUAUUGACGCUGAGGAGCGAAAGCGUGGGGAGCGAACAGG
rnacentral:rRNA from 1 species